rnacentral:tRNA from 1 species
GGCGGAGUAGCUCAGUCGGUCAGAGCACACGGCUCAUAUCCGUGGCGUCAAGGGUUCAAGUCCCUUCUCCGCCACCA